rnacentral:rRNA from 1 species
CCUACGGGAGGCAGCAGUGGGGGAUAUUGCACAAUGGGGGGAACCCUGAUGCAGCGACGCCGCGUGGGUGAAGAAGCGCCUCGGCGCGUAAAGCCCUGUCAGCAGGGACGAAAAUGACGGUACCUGAAGAAGAAGCCCCGGCUAACUACGUGCCAGCAGCCGCGGUAAUACGUAGGGGGCAAGCGUUAUGCGGAUUUACUGGGUGUAAAGGGGGCGCAGACGGCGAUGCAAGACAGGAGUGAAAGCCCGGGGCUCAACCCCGGGACUGCUCUUGGAACUGCGUGGCUGGAGUGCAGGAGGGGCAGGCGGAAUUCCUGGUGUAGCGGUGAAAUGCGUAGAUAUCAGGAGGAACACCGGUGGCGAAGGCGGCCUGCUGGACUGCAACUGACGUUGAGGCCCGAAAGCGCGGGGAGCAAACAGGAUUAGAUACCCCUGUAGUC